GCUCGACGCAAGUGUGUCGCUGCGCGCGGUGAGGGGCCCUGGCCGAGGGAUCCGCGCGCCGGGGCCUCGUCGGAGGGCAAGGGUCGCGCUCCCGCGGGCGCUGAGGGUCCCCAGCCCGCGAGCUGGGCCUGUGCGUGCUUAAGGUUUAAGGAAGACGGGCUCGACCGGCGAGUGGCGCACGCUGCGAGAACCCCAGGCCCACGCUGUCGGUCAGCGCUGGCGGUUUGUGUCCCGGGGUCGGCUCAGCAAGCUUCCUGGGAAUGGGCCCGAAGCGGGUGAGAGCCGACUUCUCCGCAACUUGGUCAAGUUCAGAGACUCACCGUCGAAAGAGACCGCCUUUGCAGUCUUCCCCUCCCUGGCGAGAGCGCUCUGAGCCUUUGCGGUGCUCCGGGGCUGACUAACGCUGGGCCCUGCCUUACGCUGGGCCCUGCCUUGAGCACCUAGUCCCCUUCAGGUUUUGGGCUGAGAGGGGUAGGCAGCAAGGCCUGGGGCGCGGCCAGGAAACCUCAAACCCGAUUUUCUAGUUUUGGCCUGAAGAAGCCGCAAAGUCAGUGGGAGUUAACUUUGUGGCCUUUGGCGUUUUUGAAAACCUCUGCAAGGCGGGAACAGCACAGAGAAACCGCGGUGCAGUUCAUCAAAAAAUGUUUUGGGGGACCGUAUCUGGAGAGUUUUCUCAGAGAGUGUUGUAUAAUCUUGCAAAUUAGCGAGCUGGUAUGUAUCUCGCCACCGGUGCACUGAAUAGUAUCUUCCUCCAGACAGGGAUUGAGAAACGGAAAUACCACCACCCUCCAGCCAAACUUGUGAGGACUGAUUGCAGGGAAACUGGUGCUCCAGAUGUUGCACUAGAGGCGCUGCAAGUGUGAGCAGGUGGCAUUGGGCCUGCAUCACAGGUUGUAGCAAAUGUUCUCAACAUUUCUAUCGAGACUUCCUUAUAUGCACUUUCAAGAGGAGCCCAAGAGCCUCAUCCCUGUGGUAGCUACCAUUCUCUGAUAUAAGCUGUUGUUCACCAGGGAGCUUUGGCAAGAGAAUUGGCCAGAUCAGCGAGUUCAUCUCCCUUGGGGAAAAACAACUUGAAGCUCAUCUCUGUUGAAGAAUGAUAGUUGUUUUGGUGGAGGGACUGAUUCUAGAGCUUCCUACUCUGCCAUCUUCCAUGACACUGCUCCCUGCCAUGUCCACUCUUAAAAGUGUUCCAGUUUGGAAAAUAAUUUUUUUGGUCACCCAUUGGAUUAAUGGGCAAAACAUGAACUUCACUCUGAAUUUCUCCUGAAAUUUUAAUUUAAAGUUUACUUUUGCAAGACUCAUUUUGAAUUACAGAGAUCAUCUUCUACCUGUAGCCUCUUUUGGGAGGAUUUCCAAAAGAGUAAGUUGACUUUCCGGGAUAUGAUACUUUGGGAAACAUUUGGCUUAAAUAAUGGAUACUUUUAUGUUGGCUCCUGCUAAUGUGUUAGAGAUUAUUCUUCAAAGAGUCCAGUUGAAUACCAGUGUCUUUUGGUGAGGGGUGGGAAUACAGAAUCAUUUAUAAGCCUGAUGGUACUAUUUGUCAGUUUUCUUUUUCUUUUUUAAACUUUAAUAGGCAUCAGGAUCAACUUCAUAAAAAAAGGUAAUGUCAGGCUUAAGAUUUUAGCAAAUACAUUUUGGUGGAUAUUCCAUGAGUUUUUUAAUGGAAUGUGAGGAUAAAAGUCAAAGAUGUUGAUUGUUUUUGUAUAACCUGGUGGCUAUAGUUAACAAUAUGACACUUCUACUUUAAAAUAUGUUAAGAGGAUAGAUCUCUUGUUAAGUGUUCUUAGGACAUAACAAAAAAAAAAGACACAAGAGAAAACUAGGGAAGUUUUGGAGAUAAUAGAUAUGUUUAUAGUAUGUUGAUAGUGGUGAUAGUAUCAGAGGUGUAUGCAUAAGUCCAAACUUAUCACAAUGUAUACAUUAAAUAUGUGCCAUUUUUAUAUGUCACUUAUAAUUCAAUAAAGAUUAAAAUGCAUGUUGAUUGUAUUUUAAAGAUAUACUCUGGAGAAGGAGGAGAAAAAUACUAAACAGAUGAUGUCACAAAGCAUUCAGUUCUUGAUGUAGGAGUUUGUGAAAAGGAAUGGCUUCAUGAUUCUUUGUUUCAUUCUGUUGCCUUCAUGAUGAGUACUUGAUACUGCUAAUAAUGAUAUUGGUGUAUUCCUUGGCAUUUAAAGGAAUAUCAAAUAUAUUCUUUACAUUAGAAAGCUUUUCUUCUGCUGAGGCUACUGAUUCACAGGAAAAAAAAACUCUUGGGUAUAAUCUACAAAUGAAAAACAGUUGAUGACAGGAAGCAAACGUGGAGGAGGUAAAGAGAUGGUGAAGAGAUGGCAAAAGUGGGUAGACACUGAGAGAGGAAAUAUUAGAGGAAGGAAGAUGAGGGAGAAUGGGUGGGAUUAAAACAAAAGAGAGUGAUUUUUCUCCUUUUGGCUUAGGCCUCAACCAACCGUGUCCUGGCUUUCUUCCUCUUACAUCUACCCUGAUGAUCACCCUCCAGCUAUUAAAAUCACUCUAAUUCUGGUGCUAAUCCAGUUCCUCCUGACUUUUUACCUUUGCAUCCACAGGUAUCCUAAGUUCACAUGGCCACCAUAACUGUCACUGGGCUUUGUUUUCCUCAUUCCGUUGUCAUUUAUUAGGAAGCCUUCUUUCUUUCUUUCUUUUUAAAUUUUUUUAUGUUAAUUUAUUUUUGAGGGAGAGAAAGAGUACAAACAGAGGAGGGGCAGAGACAGAGGGAGACACAGAAUCCGAAGCAGGCUCUAGGCUUUGAGUUGUCAGCACAGAGCCUGAUGUGGGGCUUGAACCCAUGAACUGUCAGGUCAUGACCUAAGCUGAAGUUGGAGGAUUAACCAAUUGAGCCAGUCAGGUGCUGCUAGGAAGCUUUCUUGAAUAUUCAAAUAUUUCCACUUAGUUAAUGAACAGAUUCACUGUGAAUAAUAAUGCAGUGUCACUUUAUGUAUGCCAGGUAGUGUUCUAGGCUCUGGAUAUAAAGAACUUAAUGAGUUGAAGUCUCAAUUCCCAUUGAGCUUAUGUUACAACACAUGAAUAAGUAUAUAUUUGAAUUGCUUUGGGGAGAAAAAAAUGCAAAUGAAGGGGGUAGAGAAUCACAGAGUAUGCUACUUUAGAAAGGGUAGUUAAGGAAGUUUUGUCUGUGGAGGUGAUAUUUAAGCAGAAAUCUGAAUGAUGUGAGGGAACAAGCCAUAUGAGUUUCAGGGCAGUAUGUGCUUGGUGAGACAAGUGCAUAGGCUUACGUUUGAUGUCUUCAAGGGUCAGCAAGAAGUGCAGUGGAUGGAUGGGGAGAAUGGUAGGAAAUGAGGUUAAGAGUUAGGCAGAGGCUGGUCAUAAGCCUGAUAGACCACAGUAAAGUUCUUGGAUUUUAUUUUAAGAGUGAUGAGGUGGAUUCACUCCAUGCUAGGGGUAUCUUCUCAGAUGAGAGCAGAGCUGCAAGGUAUCAGAAUUCUUACGCACUUACCCAGUUGCAUGUAUUAAUAUAAAUAUUGUAGUAGAAAUGGGAAAUGGUUGUUCAGGACAGCUUACGCUGAGUCACAUUACUGAAGGUCUGUUUUACCUUCAGAAGAGGACUACAGUACCGUAAUGAGAUAGGUGACUGUUCUCCUGGGAAG